UCAGCAUCAUGCUAGGCACUGAAAGGUCUUCACAUGUUUGUGUCUCUACUAACUAGACACAAAUAUUCCAACAAUUAAUGGGAACAUUUGAGAGUCCUCUAGGAAACUUUAUCCAUGUCACUUUAGGAUACAUUUCAUUCUUCAGAGGAAACCUCACUCCUUUCUUUAAAAUGGUCUGGUUUAUUUCAAAUCUUUUUCUCUCCAAUUUUUCUCAAAAGAAUAUACAACAUUACCAUUCCAAAUUAAACAAUACUUGAAGGAAAAGGUCAGCAAACAACAAAGGAACCCUGAAGGAGUUGGGUAGCAAGCUUCCCAGAAUCGCAGAUGUCUCCUUGAAAAGAGGGAAACAUUUCUGCCAAGAAUUGAAAACAGAUCCUUAUGUUCUGGGAGGCUUGCCCCCGGGAGAGUUGUGGCCUUGGGGAAAAUGUUAAGCAUAUAAAUCAGAACAAAGCCACUUGUUCUUGCACAUUUUAUGGUUUCUACUGAUCACUAUCUCUCACACCUGCUUUCCUGUGGCUCACAAUAAAAAUCGCUGGAUGGUGAGGGGGGUUGUUGCAGCUCCUCCAGAGCCUCAACCCUCUGCAUCUCCACCUAAAUUCUACAUUCUCUGUCUCUCAAGUUUCUUCGCAUCUCGGAAGCACAAUUGACGCAGCGAGCAGGGUCCACAGCGACGGUCUCGGUCAACAGAAGUAUUGGACGCCUGUAAGGAAAAUCAAAAUUAGACAUGAGCAAGAGAAGGAGGCGUGAAUUUGACAACUUAACUCGAACCAUGCAGAAGUUAGAUCUUCGUGCACAAACCAUCACUGUCCCUUUGCCUCAAACACAAAGGGCUACGGUUCCUACUUGGGGCCAACCAAAGAAGAUGAAUCAGAAAGCUGAACAAGUGUUGCAAGAGGCUGGACAGCCGGCAAAUGCAACGGCCCUUUCCCUUGCCGUGCUCGCUGUUAUUUCCACACAGUCUGGAGAGGAGCUCGCCGAUCGCAAAACUUAAUCAACAAAGGACAGCAGAAAGCAGCUGCCUUCUCUAUCCUGCUUCAGCAAAUUCAGCAAAAACAAAAAGGGGGGAAUGUAGGAAAAGAUCAGCAAACAACAAACGAACUCUGAAGGAGUUGGUUAGCAAGCUUCCCAGAAUCGCAGAUGUCCCCUUGAAAGGCGGGAAACAUUUCUGCUAGGAACUGAAAACAGAUCCUUAUCGUUCCGAGAAGCUUGACCCCAGGAGAGUUAUGACCUUAAGGAAAAUGUUAAGCAUAUAGCUCUCAGAACAAAGCCACCUGUUUUUGCACCUUUUAUGGCUUCUACUGAUCACUGUCUCUCACACCUGUCUUUCUGUAGCUCACAAUAAAAAUCGCUGGAUGGUGAA